CUGCCCUCAAGCCCGGCUUGUGUGUUGGGCCCCGUCCUCCGAUUCCGGGGGACGGGCCCGAAAGGCAGCGGCGGCACCGCGUCCGGUCCUCGAGCGUAUGGGGCUUUGUCACCCGCUCUGUAGGCCCGGCCGGCGCUUGCCGAUCAACCAAAUUUUAUUAUCCAGG
rnacentral:misc_RNA from 1 species